UAUUAUUUUGCUUGUUUAUUUGUUGUUUAUACCCCUAAUUGAAUUGUUUAGAAAGGCCGAGCCAAGAUCCUUUGUUUUCAUGCGACUUGGAGAGGAGUUUUUGAGAGGAUGCCAAAAAUAACGCAGUGGAAUAAAUUUACCUUGGCUCAUCCAUCAACAUUUUCCCCAGCCGACAACAUCGGAGAAAUUCUCAUUGGAAAUUCGAGACACUGCAAGAAGCCAUUGAAAAUAGCAUCCUAACAUCAGUAAACAAUCUGCAUUUUCAGUUACAAGACAAUGCAUAUAGCCAGGCCAGCCAAAGGAUAUAAGCAUUGCCUGCAGGACCUGCGUGUGUGCCUUCCAAGGAAUCUUAUGCUGCACACAUGACUGAACUCGAGGAUGGGGAAAAAUUGGUCUGGGGAGUUUCGAGGAGUCGGUGUGGAGGAGAGGAGUCUCCGCAGUCUGGCGUCCUGGCGACGAUUCAACUAAAGCUCAGACAGCCUUAAAUUUUGAUAUAUUUGCAUGCUGCAUCAAAAUGGCCAAGCACACAAUGCGGGAAAUCUUCGGUAAUGAACUUUAAUGGUGUCGCCAUAAAAUAUUCGACAUAUGCAGAAUGCUUCCACAAGAAAUGGUCCAUACUAAGAGCAUAAAAUAAGUUUAUAAUUAUUGCGAUUAAAAUUA